rnacentral:rRNA from 1 species
UGGAUGAGUGGCGAACGGGUGAGUAAUACGUGAGUAACCUGCCCUUGACUCUGGGAUAAGCCUGGGAAACCGGGUCUAAUACUGGAUACGACGUCCUGCCGCAUGGUGGGGCGUGGAAAGGGUUUUACUGGUUUUGGAUGGGCUCACGGCCUAUCAGCUUGUUGGUGGGGUAAUGGCCUACCAAGGCGACGACGGGUAGCCGGCCUGAGAGGGUGACCGGCCACACUGGGACUGAGACACGGCCCAGACUCCUACGGGAGGCAGCAGUGGGGAAUAUUGCACAAUGGGCGCAAGCCUGAUGCAGCGACGCCGCGUGAGGGAUGACGGCCUUCGGGUUGUAAACCUCUUUCAGCAGGGAAGAAGCCACAAGUGACGGUACCUGCAGAAGAAGCGCCGGCUAACUACGUGCCAGCAGCCGCGGUAAUACGUAGGGCGCAAGCGUUGUCCGGAAUUAUUGGGCGUAAAGAGCUCGUAGGCGGUUUGUCGCGUCUGCUGUGAAAGCCCGGGGCUCAACCCCGGGUCUGCAGUGGGUACGGGCAGACUAGAGUGCAGUAGGGGAGACUGGAAUUCGUGGUGUAGCGGUGAAAUGCGCAGAUAUCAGGAGGAACACCGAUCGCGAAAGCAGGUCUCUGGGCUGUUACUGACGCU